GGUAUUUGUUCUUCGGACAGAGAGAGCGGCGUACGGGUGCGGAACACGUGUGCAACCUGCCUUUAUCAGGGGGAUAGCCUUUCGAAAGGAAGAUUAAUACCCCAUAAUAUAUUAAGUGGCAUCACUUGAUAUUGAAAACUCCGGUGGAUAGAGAUGGGCACGCGCAAGAUUAGAUAGUUGGUAGGGUAACGGCCUACCAAGUCAGUGAUCUUUAGGGGGCCUGAGAGGGUGAUCCCCCACACUGGUACUGAGACACGGACCAGACUCCUACGGGAGGCAGCAGUGAGGAAUAUUGGACAAUGGGUGAGAGCCUGAUCCAGCCAUCCCGCGUGAAGGACGACGGCCCUAUGGGUUGUAAACUUCUUUUGUAUAGGGAUAAACCUUUCCACGUGUGGAAAGCUGAAGGUACUAUACGAAUAAGCACCGGCUAACUCCGUGCCAGCAGCCGCGGUAAUACGGAGGGUGCAAGCGUUAUCCGGAUUUAUUGGGUUUAAAGGGUCCGUAGGCGGAUCUGUAAGUCAGUGGUGAAAUCUCACAGCUUAACUGUGAAACUGCCAUUGAUACUGCAGGUCUUGAGUAAAGUAGAAGUGGCUGGAAUAAGUAGUGUAGCGGUGAAAUGCAUAGAUAUUACUUAGAACACCAAUUGCGAAGGCAGGUCACUAUGUUUUAACUGACGCUGAUGGACGAAAGCGUGGGGAGCGAACAGGAUUAGAUACCCUGGUAGUCCACGCCGUAAACGAUGCUAACUCGUUUUUGGGGCUUCGGCUUCAGAGACUAAGCGAAAGUGAUAAGUUAGCCACCUGGGGAGUACGUUCGCAAGAAUGAAACUCAAAGGAAUUGACGGGGGCCCGCACAAGCGGUGGAUUAUGUGGUUUAAUUCGAUGAUACGCGAGGAACCUUACCAAGGCUUAAAUGGGAAUUGAUCGGUUUAGAAAUAGACCUUCCUUCGGGCAAUUUUCAAGGUGCUGCAUGGUUGUCGUCAGCUCGUGCCGUGAGGUGUUAGGUUAAGUCCUGCAACGAGCGCAACCCCUGUCACUAGUUGCCAUCAUUAAGUUGGGGACUCUAGUGAGACUGCCUACGCAAGUAGAGAGGAAGGUGGGGAUGACGUCAAAUCAUCACGGCCCUUACGCCUUGGGCCACACACGUAAUACAAUGGCCGGUACAGAGGGCAGCUACACAGCGAUGUGAUGCAAAUCUCGAAAGCCGGUCUCAGUUCGGAUUGGAGUCUGCAACUCGACUCUAUGAAGCUGGAAUCGCUAGUAAUCGCGCAUCAGCCAUGGCGCGGUGAAUACGUUCCCGGGCCUUGUACACACCGCCCGUCAAGCCAUGGAAGUCUGGGGUACCUGAAGUCGGUGACCGUAACAGGAG
rnacentral:rRNA from 1 species